rnacentral:rRNA from 1 species
GAUGAACGCUGGCGGCGUGCCUAAUACAUGCAAGUCGAGCGAACAGACGAGGAGCUUGCUCCUCUGACGUUAGCGGCGGACGGGUGAGUAACACGUGGAUAACCUACCUAUAAGACUGGGAUCACUUCGGGAAACCGGAGCUAAUACCGGAUAAUAUAUUGAACCGCAUGGGUCAAUAGUGAAAGACGGUUUUGCUGUCACUUAUAGAUGGAUCCGCGCCGCAUUAGCUAGUUGGUAAGGUAACGGCUUACCAAGGGAACGAUGCGUAGCCGACCUGAGAGGGUGAUCGGCCACACUGGAACUGAGACACGGUCCAGACUCCUACGGGAGGCAGCAGUAGGGAAUCUUCCGCAAUGGGCGAAAGCCUGACGGAGCAACGCCGCGUGAGUGAUGAAGGUCUUCGGAUCGUAAAACUCUGUUAUUAGGGAAGAACAAAUGUGUAAGUAACUAUGCACGUCUUGACGGUACCUAAUCAGAAAGCCACGGCUAACUACGUG